ACACCGUCUGUCAUAACAACACAGACAAACUGUGAGCCUUUGGGGGGACACUUAGGGUCCAGACUGUAACACAUGCCAACCUCCAUUCAGCAAGAGAACUCAUCUGGGAGCACCGAGGGCCUGACCGACCUCAGAGUGCACGUGCAUACGAUGAAGAAGAGGACCACGUUUUGCCCAUUGGUGCACUGACCACUCAAAAUCACAGUAUGGGCUCCAGGUACCCAAUGCAGAAACUUCAGGUAGAAGAUCUCCAUGCCAAGAUC
rnacentral:lncRNA from 1 species